rnacentral:rRNA from 1 species
UACGAGGGGGGCAAAUGUUGUUCGGAAUCACUGGGCGUAAAGGGAGCGUAGGCGGGUUCUUAAGUAAGGUGUUUAAUCCCGGGGCCCAACCCCGGACCGGCAUUUAAACUGGGAAUCUUGAAUAGUGGAGAGGUCGGUGGAAUUGGAGGUGUAGCGGUGGAAUGCGUAGAGAUCGGCAGGAACACCCAGGGGGAAACCAGCCGACUGGGCAAGUGCUGACGCUGAGGUGCGAGAGCGUGGGGAGCGAACCGG